rnacentral:rRNA from 1 species
AACGAACGCUGGCGGCAUGCCUAACACAUGCAAGUCGAACGAGACCUUCGGGUCUAGUUGCGCACGGGUGCGUAACGCGUGGGAACCUGCCCUUAGGUUCGGAAUAACUCUCCGACAGGGGUGCUAAUACCGGAUAAUGUCCUCGGACCAAAGAUUUAUCGCCUUUGGAUGGGCCGGCGUUGGCUUAGCUUGUUGGUAGGGUAAAAGCCUACCAAGGCGACGAUCCAUAGCUGGUCUGAGAGGAUGAUCAGCCACACUGGGACUGAGACACGGCCCAGACUCCUACGGGAGGCAGCAGUGGGGAAUAUUGGACAAUGGGGGAAGGCAUGAUCCAGCAAUGCCGCGUGAGUGAUGAAGGCCUUAGGGUUGUAAAGCUCUUUUACCCGGGAUGAUAAUGACGGUACCGGGAGAAUAAGCUCCGGCUAACUCCGUG